AUUGAACGCUGGCGGCAGGCCUAACACAUGCAAGUCGAGCGGUAGAGAGGUGCUUGCAUCUCUUGAGAGCGGCGGACGGGUGAGUAAUGCCUAGGAAUCUGCCUAGUGGUGGGGGAUAACGUUCGGAAACGGACGCUAAUACCGCAUACGUCCUACGGGAGAAAGCGGGGGAUCUUCGGACCUCGCGCCAUUAGAUGAGCCUAGGUCGGAUUAGCUAGUUGGUGAGGUAAUGGCUCACCAAGGCGACGAUCCGUAACUGGUCUGAGAGGAUGAUCAGUCACACUGGAACUGAGACACGGUCCAGACUCCUACGGGAGGCAGCAGUGGGGAAUAUUGGACAAUGGCGAAAGCCUGAUCCAGCCAUGCCGCGUGUG
rnacentral:rRNA from 1 species